UACGGAGGGGGCUAGCGUUGUUCGGAAUUACUGGGCGUAAAGCGCACGUAGGCGGCUUUGUAAGUUAGAGGUGAAAGCCCGGGGCUCAACUCCGGAAUUGCCUUUAAGACUGCAUCGCUAGAAUUGUGGAGAGGUAAGUGGAAUUCCGAGUGUAGAGGUGAAAUUCGUAGAUAUUCGGAAGAACACCAGAGGCGAAGGCGGCGAACUGGACAGCAACUGACACUCAACUGCGAAAGCGUGGGGAGCAAACAGG
rnacentral:rRNA from 1 species